rnacentral:misc_RNA from 1 species
CUGGUCUGUCUAUCCUGUGAUUAGCGGAGCAGAAACGCAAGAUGAGUCGAGGAGCGGCAGCUGGAGCUAAGGGGAAGAAGAAGGGAGCGACCUUCGUGAUUGACUGCGGGAAGCCAGUGGAGGAUAAGAUCAUGGACAUUGCCUCACUGGAAAAGUUCCUCCAGGAGAGGAUCAAGGUUGGUGGCAAGGCUGGUGCCCUCGGUGACACCGUCACCGUCACUCGUGACAAGACCAAGAUCACCGUUACCUCUGACAGCAACUUCUCUAAAAGGUACUCCAAUUGAUUUUGUUCCUUACUGAAUAUUUGUGCUUAGAUAAUUUCCAUUGAGUGGGCAUCUUUUAAGUUCAUCUUAUUAGAGCUUUGAGCAAAAUUUGUAGUUUAUUUGGUAUUCAGGUGAACUAGAUCUGCAUGCUGGAAAUGGAAUCUUAUAUUCGAACUAGGUUUACAGCACCUUGAUAUCAUAUGAAUUUAAUGCGUUAUGCGUAUUUCAGAAUUUAUGACUACUAUGAGAUUGAUGGCUGCGAUAUGGAACUGUAUCAAAUAUGAAUAUUAGGAUCUUUUACUCCUGUUACAUUUAGAAUUCCUCUGACUGCGUCUCAAAAUUGAGUACUUCAUGCCCUGUGCAAGUAAUUGUAAUAUCUUCUUUAUUGCGAUAACAUAUUUUAGUUUGAGUUUGCAUCUUGACAAUUGAUAGAGAGCUUGGCUGUGCAGUGUAUAGUGUAAAGCUACACAUUUUUUUUUCCCUUUCAUGCCAUCUACUAAAAUACCAACAAAGCAGGUCGCCAUCAUCCCUGCGUAGCACUUUUAGUUCUCUGCAUCUUUGUAUUAUUUUCAUUACAACAUUAGAACUGGAAGUUUGGUACAUAAGUUUAAUAAUUCUAUCACUUGUUUUUAUAUUUUGUUAGGUAUCUUAAGUACUUGACCAAAAAGUACUUGAAGAAACACAAUGUGCGGGAUUGGCUUCGGGUGAUUGCUUCUAACAAAGACCGGAAUGUGUAUGAACUUCGGUACUUCAACAUUGCUGAGAAUGAGGGAGAGGAGGAAGAUUGAACACCCAAUUUGGUAUUUCAUGUGUUUUAGUUUGUUUGUCUUAAGAGCCUCAUUAUCUAUUUCAGCUGUUGGAUCUUUAAGACUUGUUGGGAUUGUUCUGUGAUCCUUUCUGAAUUUGUUGAAAAUUUGGGUACUUAUAAUUAGGUAUCUUCUUUUCAUGUAUUCCAUGCUAUUAAUACAAUGCAGAUUUGUUGCUACAGUUUGGUCAUAGAGAUGGCUAUAUCUAGAUUUUCACCUUUUUUUUUUCCCUUCUUUUUGCUUAUAUGGAUAUAGUUCAUGGGCCAGCACUUUGUAGUAGCUGGUGCCUUAUUUGCUAUCAAUUUGAUGUACAUAAGUUGCUUGUCUCAAAGGGUGAAAAAAAAAGGAAAAAGAAAAAAACCUGUUCCAUUGUGAGUUGUCCUUGUUUCCAACAUGAAAUAAUAGGCACUUUCUGUGAAGUAAUGGUUAAACUUCUUGAUUUGUGAAUUGGUUCUAUCACAACAGUGAUGUGUACUGCAAUUAGUUAUGGAUUAGGAUUACUAGGGAACAGUGGCAGCAGAUGUACUAAACUAAACCUUUUGAUGAGAGUGUGAUGCGUG